GAUGAACGCUGGCGGCGUGCCUAAUACAUGCCAGUCGAGCGAACAGACGAGGAGCUUGCUCCUCUGACGUUAUCGGCGGACGGGUGAGUAACACGUGGAUAACCUACCUAUAAGACUGGGAUAACUUCGGGAAACCGGAGCUAAUACCGGAUAACAUGUUGAACCGCAUGGUUCAACAGUGAAAUACGGUCUUGCUGUCACUUAUAGAUGGAUCCGCGCCGCAUUAACUAGUUGGUAAGGUAACGGCUUACCAAGGCAACGAUGCGUAGCCGACCUGAGAGGGUGAUCGGCCACCCUGGAACAGAGACAGGGUCCAGACUCCUAGGGGGGGAAGCAGUAGGGAAUCUUCCGGAAUGGGCGAAAGCCUGACGGAGGAAAGCGGCGUGAGUGAAGAAGGUCUUCGGAUCGUAAAACUCUGUUAUUAGGGAAGAACAAAUGUGUAAGUAACUAUGCACGUCUUGACGGUACCUAAUCAGAAAGCCACGGCUAACUACGUG
rnacentral:rRNA from 1 species